CUUGGAGCCGGUCUCCAGGGCAGAUCUUCCGGGCGACUCGCCCUGCAAGAAAUUAGAAAAUGCUACAAUAAAGCCCGAAAAACUGAAAAAAGAGCCAACUUUAAUAAUGAUACUUCUCACCGUAGGCGCCCGCGUCCCCUAGGUUGGAAGUCAGCGAAAGACAGCGAAGUAGCCCAGAUCAUUCAUGGAAAGCCAUCUUCUAUAUUAAAAAUGCCACUGGUACUACAAAACAAGAAUUCAGAUGGCGGUGGAGCGAGUGUUGGCCAGAGGCGAUAACUUCUCAGCAGAUUUAGCUUCAGUACAGAUUGCGCGGAAGG